UACGAAGGGGGCUAGCGUUGCUCGGAAUCACUGGGCGUAAAGGGCGCGUAGGCGGGAUGGCAAGUCGGUCGUGAAAUCUCUCGGCUCAACCGAGAAACGUCGGCCGAUACUGCCGUUCUUGAGGGAUGCAGAGGAGACUGGAAUUCCCGGUGUAGCGGUGAAAUGCGCAGAUAUCAGGAGGAACACCGGUGGCGAAGGCGGUUCUCUGGGCAUUACCUGACGCUGAGGAGCGAAAGUGUGGGGAGCGAACAAG
rnacentral:rRNA from 1 species